rnacentral:rRNA from 1 species
GGCUGAAAUUCGCCUUCAUGAAGCCGGAAUUGCUAGUAAUGGCAGGUCAGCAUACUGCCGUGAAUACGUUCCCGGGCCUUGUACACACCGCCCGUCACACCAUGAGAGUUGGGAAUACCCGAAGCCUGUGAGCUAACAUUAAGAGGCAGCAGUCGAAGGUAGAAUCAAUGAUUGGGGUGAAGUCGUAACAAGGUAUC